AUUGAACGCUGGCGGCAGGCCUAACACAUGCAAGUCGAACGGUAACAGGAAGAAGCUUGCUUCUUUGCUGACGAGUGGCGGACGGGUUAGUAAUGUCUGGGAAACUGCCUGAUGGAUGGGGAUAACUACUGGAAACGGUAGCUAAUACCGCAUAACGUCGCAAGACCAAAGAGGGGGACCUUCGGGCCUCUUGCCUUCGGCUGUGCCCAGUUGGGAUUAGCUAGUAGGUGGGGUAACGGCUCACCUAGGCGACGAUCCCUAGCUGGUCUGAGAGGAUGAACAGCCACACUGGAACUGAGACACGGUCCAGACUCCUACGGGAGGCAGCAGUGGGGAAUAUUGCACAAUGGGCGCAAGCCUGAUGCAGCCAUGCCGCGUGUAUGAAGAAGGCCUUCGGGUUGUAAAGUACUUUCAGCGGGGAGGAAGGGAGUAAAGUUAAUACCUUUGCUCAUUGACGUUACCAGCAGAAGAAGCACCGGCUAACUCCGUG
rnacentral:rRNA from 1 species